rnacentral:rRNA from 1 species
UACGUAGGGUCCGAGCGUUGUCCGGAAUUACUGGGCGUAAAGAGCUCGUAGGUGGUUUGUUGCGUUGUUCGUGAAAACUCACAGCUCAACUGUGGGCGUGCGGGCGAUACGGGCAGACUGGAGUACUGCAGGGGAGACUGGAAUUCCUGGUGUAGCGGUGGAAUGCGCAGAUAUCAGGAGGAACACCGGUGGCGAAGGCGGGUCUCUGGGCAGUAACUGACGCUGAGGAGCGAAAGCGUGGGGAGCGAACAGG